GUUACAGUAUAAAACCUUUGUUCGCCCCCCCCGCAGGGUCUUGGGGCUUGCUGAAUGAAUCCAUCCUGUUCACCCCCCAAGUCCCGUGUCGUCUGCCAUCUGUCCCCGCGCCGAUAACUGGGACCGCAGAGCUCACAAGGGGGAGCGGCCGCCCGUUCUCUUCCCUCUCACCGCCCAGCACGCCACCGCUCGGGGUGUCGCGGCGAGAGGAGCUGACCGCGAACCAACAAAUGGUAGCAGAGGAUGGUUUCCUCCUUCGUCUUGUAAAACAAACGGGCAAAUUCGUGGGGGUGCCCGCCUCACAGAAGAAGAAGGAGGGAAGAGCAACAGCUACGGCCGUGAGAGCUCUGCCGGACGCUAAGAGGAGCCAAGCGCCGAGCGAGGGAAGAUUGCGGCUCCGGGACUCUUUCCGCUCUCGCCUUUGUGCUCUCUACUCCUGUCAGGGGCAGUCGCUCUGCCGGGGAGAGUCCCCAUUGUGGGACAGGGGUAGACCUACCCCAGGGCGGAGAGGGCGGCUUGGCAGUGGCUCGGGGGAGCCCGAAGAACGGCGCGUCAAGGGACGGCACUGGAAAGAAGACCACCAGAAGCCGAUAGUGGCCGAACCUAAGGUCUCGGGGACGGGGCUUAGGAAACGGGAACACCCAGGCUUCUGGAAGGGCCAAGCCGAAGAGGGACGUCCCCAGUCCGGCGCGAUUUUCCACCAGAGCCGAAGAGAAGAUAGAGGUAUCCCCGCCCGGACCCGGAGGGUAAGUGGGUCUGGAGCAGGGCAGGGGGCUGGCCCUGCCGGGCGGCUGGGUUUCCCAUUUUUCUUUUUGCGUUUUAACCCCCGUCCGCGCCCAGGCAGGGACGUCACUAGGAAUGUCCAUGGCGGGAGGGUGAUAUGUCCCUGGCGGGCGGGUGGCUUUUCGUUUCUGGGGUGGAGGGAGGCGCAGCCCGGGGCACGUGGAACGGGGGCCCCCCCCCCUCAUCCAGUCUUCUAUGGGAACCCAUAUUGGAGAGCUUUUUCUUCUCCUCGGAAAGCUGUCUUCUCUAGCCUCUCCUCCCCAUUCCGGGCUGGACGGAGGGGGUAGAGAAGACAUCAACGGGGCAGAUUUUAGGUGGAGACACGAUUACUAUAGGAGAGUUGAUAAAAUCUUAAGAAAGGCCCUUUCCAUCCACGCAUCGCGUCGACAUCCAGCUGCGUCGGG
rnacentral:lncRNA from 1 species